UCCUUCUUAUGGGUUGAGGGUCUGAAAAACUCAUACAUCAAAGGUGUUGUCAUCAGCUUCUCUCGAAUUCGCAACGGAGACUGGAGUUAAAUAACAGCACUAGACUA